AGUGAACGCUGGCGGUAGGCCUAACACAUGCAAGUCGAACGGCAGCACAGUAAGAGCUUGCUCUUACGGGUGGCGAGUGGCGGACGGGUGAGGAAUACAUCGGAAUCUACUUUUUCGUGGGGGAUAACGUAGGGAAACUUACGCUAAUACCGCAUACGACGUACGGGUGAAAGCAGGGGAUCUUCGGACCUUGCGCGAGUGAAUGAGCCGAUGUCGGAUUAGCUAGUUGGCGGGGUAAAGGCCCACCAAGGCGACGAUCCGUAGCUGGUCUGAGAGGAUGAUCAGCCACACUGGAACUGAGACACGGUCCAGACUCCUACGGGAGGCAGCAGUGGGGAAUAUUGGACAAUGGGCGCAAGCCUGAUCCAGCCAUACCGCGUGGGUGAAGAAGGCCUUCGGGUUGUAAAGCACUUUUGUUGGGAAAGAAAAGCAGCAGGUUAAUACCCCGCUGUUCUGACGGUACCCAAAGAAUAAGCACCGGCUAACUUCGUG
rnacentral:rRNA from 1 species